AUUGAACGCUGGCGGCAUGCUUUACACAUGCAAGUCGAACGGCAGCACGGGGCGAACCCUCGGUGGCGAGUGGCGAACGGGUGAGUAACACAUCGGAACGUGCCCAGUUGUGGGGGAGUAACCUAUCGAAAGGUAGGCUAAUACCGCAUGAGCUCGGCAAGAGGAAAGCGGGGGACGUCAGCGAUGGGCCUCGCGCGACUGGAGCGGCCGAUGUCCGAUUAGCAGUUGGUGGGGUAAAGGCUUACCAAGGCGACGAUCGGUAGCUGGUCUGAGAGGAUGAUCAGCCACACUGGGACUGAGACACGGCCCAGACUCCUACGGGAGGC
rnacentral:rRNA from 1 species